GCCCGGGUGGUGGAAUUGGCAGACACGCUAGACUAAGGAUCUAGUCCCGCGAGGGGUGCGAGUUCAAGUCUCGCCUCGGGCACCA
rnacentral:tRNA from 2 species